GAUGAACGCUGGCGGCGUGCCUAAUACAUGCAAGUCGAGCGAACAGACGAGGAGCUUGCUCCUCUGACGUUAGCGGCGGACGGGUGAGUAACUCGUGGAUAACCUACCUAUAAGACUGGGAUAACUUCGGGAAACCGGAGCUAAUACCGGAUAAUAUAUUGAACCGCAUGGUUCAAUAGUGAAAGACGGUUUUGCUGCCACUUAUAGAUGGAUCCGCGCCGCAUUAGCUAGUUGGUAAGGUAACGGCUUACCAAGGCAACGAUGCGUAGCCGACCUGAGAGGGUGAUCGGCCACACUGGAACUGAGACACGGUCCAGACUCCUACGGGAGGCAGCAGUAGGGAAUCUUCCGCAAUGGGCGAAAGCCUGACGGAGCAACGCCGCGUGAGUGAUGAAGGUCUUCGGAUCGUAAAACUCUGUUAUUAGGGAAGAACAAAUGUGUAAGUAACUAUGCACGUCUUGACGGUACCUAAUCAGAAAGCCACGGCUAACUACGUG
rnacentral:rRNA from 1 species